rnacentral:rRNA from 1 species
UGGGGAAUUUUGCACAAUGGGGGAAACCCUGAUGCAGCGACGCCGCGUGAUUUAGAAGGCCUUCGGGUUGUAAAAAUCUUUUCUAUGGGAAGAAAAUGACAGUACCAUAGGAAUAAGGACCGGCUAAUUACGUGCCAGCAGCCGCGGUAAUACGUAAGGUCCGAGCGUUGUCCGGAAUCAUUGGGCGUAAAGGGUACGUAGGCGGGUAAGCAAGUUAGAAGUGAAAUCCUAUAGCUCAACUAUAGUAAGCUUUUAAAACUGCUCAUCUUGAGGUAUGGAAGGGAAAGUAGAAUUCCUAGUGUAGCGGUGAAAUGCGCAGAUAUUAGGAGGAAUGCCGGUGGCGAAGGCGACUUUCUGGCCAUAACCUGACGCUGAGGUACGAAAGCGUGGGUAGCAAACAGG